GCUGAUGACAAAAAAAGACAAAAUAAAGUUGCCUGUUCUCACUCCUCUCUCUCUCCUCCCUCUCCUUACUCAACCGGUCAACCCUAAUCCCUCAUCUCUCUACGCUUCAGAUAUGCUCCUUCCUCCUUUCUCUCAAUCCAACAGAGCAACGGACGCUUAUUGAAGAGAUAGAAACUGAGGAGAGAGAAAGUGAAACAGGAAAAAAAAAGAGAAUCCAAAAAAAGGGGUUUCUUCAACUCCAUCUCUAAGAAGGGUUUAGGUGGGAUAUUCAUGAGUCCAUCGGCUGUAAAAAUGGAGGAAUCAAAGCCUGCAAUUUUGAACAGUGAGAACGGCUAUGAAAUUGAAGCUCGAUUCGCCGAACUCUGCAAUGUUUAAUGUCUUCUUAUCUAUGGUCUUAUCGACAGCACCACCUAUCAUCUCACCAAGUUAUACAUACACAAGCCCAUUAUUUAUCUGAUGAUGCACCAAGCCAUCAAGGAACGGAAGUUAGUCCCUGCUUCAAAACAUUUUUGUAAUUUACGAGAGUGAGAAUAUCGCAAGAAAUGUGACUUUGAAGCUUUUGUUGUCACAACAUACUUAUGAUCUUUGUGGUCAUCUUCUAUCUUGCGUCUUCUGACUUUUAGGGAGUUUUUGUGUAAAUUAGUUAUUUUUACAAAGUACUCUGACCAUUACCGUGGAAUGACAAAAAAAAUUAUGUCUACAAUUUUGUUGUGUGA